rnacentral:lncRNA from 1 species
AUAGGGGGAUUCGAACACGGGGAAUGACUAGUUGCUUAAGUGUUCACGUUAGGGUCACGCAAUCAAUUACCUCCUGAAUGUAUCGUCUCUAUUUCUAAUAUCUAAACACACAAGGAAACUAUAAUCUCCUCCUUCAUCUUAUCGGUCUCUUCCUUAUAGCAAUUCAAUCAUACCAAUAAUUGUUGUUUCCACCAAUAUAUUCACCCUCAUAAUCUCCAACUAUAAUACUGCACCCUCAUAGCUUUCAGCACACAAUUACCCUCAUUCCAAUCACUGGAAUUCUUCACACAAAACUGCCAUUCACAUUACGGUGUUUCAUACAAACACAAACUCAUUCUCUUUGUUGAAUUAUAAUCAGAUUUCAGCAUUCAAUCUUUCUUCUUCUCAAAUAAUACCAAUCACAUUUUCAUUCCAUAAUUCACUUUACAAUAUUCAAAAACUCUCAAUCCUCUUAUUUAAAGAAAAUAACAAAUAAAAGAAAAGAAGUAGCACCAAGCUUACCUUGACUCACAACUAUCACAGUCUGGUACCUUAAUUAACUUCUACAACUCCUAUAUACUUUCUUGUGAAUCUCCAGAUUCUAAUCGUAAUUCUGUAAUUAACCGCUUUUAAGAACUAAAUCACUCAUUUGUCCUCCUGAAUUUCUUAUUAUAUGGACUAUUAAUAU